rnacentral:rRNA from 1 species
GACGAACGCUGGCGGCAUGCCUAAUACAUGCAAGUAGAACGCAGUUGCGCACGGGUGAGUAACGCGUAGGUAACUGCCUCCUAGCGGGGGAUAACUAUUGGAAACGAUAGCUAAUACCGCAUACUGUGAGAUGGACCUGCGUUGGAUUAGCUAGUUGGGGAGGUAAAGGCUCACCAAGGCGACGAUCCAUAGCCGACCUGAGAGGGUGAUCAGCCACACUGGGACUGAGACACGGCCCAGACUCCUACGGGAGGCAGCAGUAGGGAAUCUUCGGCAAUGGGCGGAAGUCUGACGCAGCAACGCCGCGUGUGUGAAGAAGGUCUUCGGAUUGUAAAGCACUUUAAGUGGGGAGGCGUUACCAACAGAAUAAGCACCGGCUAACUCCGUGCCAGCCGCCGCGGUAAUAC